rnacentral:rRNA from 1 species
AUUGAACGCUGGCGGCAGGCCUAACACAUGCAAGUCGAGCGGAUGAAGGGAGCUUGCUCCUGGAUUCAGCGGCGGACGGGUGAGUAAUGCCUAGGAAUCUGCCUGGUAGUGGGGGAUAACGUCCGGAAACGGGCGCUAAUACCGCAUACGUCCUGAGGGAGAAAGUGGGGGAUCUUCGGACCUCACGCUAUCAGAUGAGCCUAGGUCGGAUUAGCUAGUUGGUGGGGUAAAGGCCUACCAAGGCGACGAUCCGUAACUGGUCUGAGAGGAUGAUCAGUCAAACGGGAACGGAGAACGGCUCAAGAUUCUUAGGGGAGGAGCCAGUGGGGAAUUUUGGAAAAGGGGGGAAAGCCGGCCGCAGCAAGCCGGGUGGGGGGAGGAAGGUUUUGGGUUUUAAAACCCUUUUAAGUGGGGAGAAAGGGAAUUAGUUUAAAACGUUCAUGUUGUGACGUUACCAAAAAAGAAAGCCCCGGCUAACUACGUG